AAUAUUGGACAAUGGGGGCAACUCUGAUCCAGCGAUGACGCGUGUGUGAAGAAGGUCUGCGUAUUGUAAAGCACUUUAAGUUGGGAGGAAGGGCUUUAGGUUAAUACCCUGAAGUUUUGACGUUACCAACAGAAUAAGCACCGGCUAACUCUGUGCCAGCAGCCGCGGUACUACGGAGGGUGCAAGCGUUAAUCGGAAUUACUGGGCGUAAAGCGCGCGUAGGUGGUUCAGUAAGAUAGGUGUGAAAUCCCCGGGCUUAACCUGGGAACUGCUUUCAUAACUGCUGAGCUAGAGUACGGUAGAGGGUAGUGGAAUUUCCUGUGUAGCGGUGAAAUGCGUAGAUAUAGGAAGGAACACCAGUGGCGAAGGCGACUACCUGGACUGAUACUGACACUGAGGUGCGAAAGCGUGGGGAGCAAACA
rnacentral:rRNA from 1 species